CCUACGGGGGGCAGCAGUGAGGAAUAUUGGUCAAUGGACGCGAGUCUGAACCAGCCAAGUCGCGUGCGGGAAGACGGCCCUAUGAGUUGUAAACUGCUUUUGUCCGGGGGCAAACGAAGCUACGCGUGGCGGUCUGAGAGUAUCCGACGAAUAAGCAUCGGCUAACUCCGUGCCAGCAGCCGCGGUAAUACGGAGGAUGCGAGCGUUAUCCGGAUUUAUUGGGUUUAAAGGGUGCGUAGGCGGUAGAUCAAGUUAGCGGUAAAAUCGGGAGGCUCAACCUCUUCGUGCCGUUGAAACUGGUUGUCUUGAGUGAGCGAGAAGUAUGCGGAAUGCGUGGUGUAGCGGUGAAAUGCAUAGAUAUCACGCAGAACUCCGAUUGCGAAGGCAGCAUACCGGCGCUCAACUGACGCUCAUGCACGAAAGUGUGGGUAUCGAACAGGAUUAGAUACCCCGGUAGUC
rnacentral:rRNA from 1 species